GGGCCCGCACAAGCGGUGGAGCAUGUGGUUUAAUUCGAUGAUACGCGAGGAACCUUACCAGGGCUUAAAUGUAAGUUGCAUUAGUUAGAGAUAGCUAUUUCUUCGGACUACUUACAAGGUGCUGCAUGGUUGUCGUCAGCUCGUGCCGUGAGGUGUCAGGUUAAGUCCUAUAACGAGCGCAACCCCUGUUGUUAGUUGCCAUCGAGUCAUGUCGGGAACUCUAACAAGACUGCCGGUGCAAACCGUGAGGAAGGUGGGGAUGACGUCAAAUCAUCACGGCCCUUACGUCCUGGCUACACACGUGCUACAAUGGCCGGUACAGAGAGCAGCCACUAUGCGAAUAGGAGCU
rnacentral:rRNA from 1 species